rnacentral:rRNA from 1 species
GACGAACGCUGGCGGCGUGCUUAACACAUGCAAGUCGAACGGAGAUAUUUGAAAAGCUUGCUUUUCGGAUAUUUUAGUGGCGGACGGGUGAGUAACGCGUGAGUAACCUGCCUUGGAGUGGGGAAUAACACAGGGAAACUUGUGCUAAUAGCGCAUAAUAUCAUCGGAUGGCAUCUUCUGAUGAUCAAAGAUUUAUUGCUCCAAGAUGGGCUCGCGUCCGAUUAGAUAGUUGGUGAGGUAACGGCUCACCAAGUCGACGAUCGGUAGCCGGACUGAGGGGUUGGCCGGCCAAAUUGGGACGGAGACACGGCCCAGACUCAUAGGGGAGGCAGCAGUGGGGAAUAUUAGGCAAUGGGGGAAACCCUGACCUAGCGACGCCGCGUGAAGGAUGAAGGUUCUCGGAUUGUAAACUUCUUUGGCAGAGGACGAUAAUGACGGUACUCUGAGAACAAGCCACGGCUAACUACGUGCCAGCAGCCGCCGUAACAC